UACGGGGGGUGCGAGCGUUGUCCGGAAUCACUGGGCGUAAAGGGCGCGUAGGUGGCCUGAUAAGGGUGUGGUGAAAGUCCGGGGCUCAACCCCGGAUCGGCCGUGCCGACUGUUAGGCUAGAGUACUGUAGGGGCAGGCGGAAUUCCGGGUGUAGCGGUGGAAUGCGUAGAGAUCCGGAGGAAGACCGGUGGCGAAGGCGGCCUGCUGGGCAGUUACUGACACUGAGGCGCGACAGCGUGGGGGAGCAAACAGGG
rnacentral:rRNA from 1 species